ensembl:lncRNA
AUUUUCCAUUAGUAGGUUUAUUGCUCUCAAGUGUUAGAAAUGUAUCAGACUAACCUGCCACUGUCAGCAUUUUCCUGAAUAUCAGUUAUGCAACUUCACAAGCUAACACAUAACCCUGUCAACUAAAAUGCAUUAUAGACAAGACCUACGCAACUGUAGUGGAAGAUGCAGUCUCCAAUUUAGAAAGAAAUAAAACCAUUUAUAUACAUACUGCAGAUGCUGAACAUGCUGAGUACAGCAGUGUUCACAGUUUCAAUAGCAUGUGUAAGGAAAUAAUAAUAAAAAAAAUUGUCUAUUCUUAGUAGUUUUAAAUGGUGUUUAAGACAGAUGUUCUCCCUACAUGUGAAUAUUUUAGAUGCUUCAAGAGAUUUGCUUUUCAAAAGAAAGAAGAGAUAAUUGGGAGAGAACGACCACAGUCAGCCUCUUUCCAAUGUCAUUGUCAGUUUGAGACAAGAUAUACUUUGGAAAACAAUAUUAAAAACAGUAAGCUCCUCCACAUUGUUGGCAGUUCAGUACAAAAAGCUUCUUUUCACCACUCCAGAAGAAAAGAACACUUUUUAACCAUUUCUCACCCUUUCUGGGGGGGUGAGGGGAGACAGCGGAGCAGGCAUGUCCAUGCCUGAGUGUACAAAAUAUACAUAAUCUUUUAAUUUAAAAAGAAACACUAGAGGGUGAAGGGCAGGGGAUCCUCAGUGGACAUGUCCACCCAUUCUUCCACUUGGGAAUUAACAUUACUAUUUAUUCCACAAAUCCAAACCACAAAUAAAAUCCAGCAGGGAAAUAGGAAAGCAGCCAUGCCAGUGAUAACUGCUCAAUGCAAGAAAUUAAAUAUGUGCAUUCACAUGAAUGCACCAUUUCAUGAAUUGUCCAGAUCUACUUACAAAACACGAGAGACUCUCCCAUUAACACUGCUCAAAGAUUACUGGCAAUAAAUAAGUGAGAGCUAAGCAAAGUUAAAAUAAAGGACUGGAUGUCUGAAAAGACAGUGGGUUUGACACUUUAAAAUGCCAGGCACUUUUGUUCCAACCCUUCUAGUCCCAGAGUUAGCAUAACCAAAAAUUGUAAAACUUAAUAGAAUUGGGGUCCCAGUAUCUAGCACCUUGGAGUAAUAACCCCUGUGAUAGGAAAGUUGCACUGAAUAUCAUAUGAUAAAGAAAACUAAUCAUUCUAAGCCUGAAAAGUUUAUUACAUCUCUUCACCCAGUUCACAGUGGUCAACAAAUAGUGCUCAUGCAACAACUGUCCUGUCAUAGGGAUUGAAGGAGACAGUGUGCUUUGAACCACCAGCAAGGGUCACCAUUAGAAAUAAAAUUCUAGGCUCCGUAGCUAAAUGUUUUUAUCUCUUGUGGAAAGUCCCAUGCCCAAUGGAGUGCUUUAUAAAUAGACUAAGCAAUGAUUAAUGCUAUCUGUUUUAAACAAGUCAGACAACUUAUUCAUUCCUAGAUAGAUUUGGUAUCCAGUCUCAUUAAUUUGCUAAAAAAUUAUGAGUGAAGAUAAAAAUCUUAAAAUUCAAAUAAAGCAAGUUUUUGUACAUGCUCUACAGAUCACAUGUAGAACAAUGUAAAUAACUUCUUGUCAUUAUUUAUAAAGUUUGGAUUAAUCUUCCAAAGCAGAAUUAAUGAUGCUAGCAUGCAUCAGAAACACACCUACAACUUUAUUUCUUCAUCAAAGACAGUUCUAUUAUUAUUUUUUUUUAUUUAGACACAACAGUAUUAAUAAAAUAUAUGUAUGCUACUUCUUCUACAAAUAUAGAAACUACUUAAAAGAACUUUGCAGGCUACAAUUGUAGGCAUUUCUCACUCUAAUUGAGGAAUAAGUAUAGCAGGACAAUUUAAUAACAAUAACCAGUAAUGGUACCAUCUGCAUUCUUCCAUCUUAGUCUGCCAUGGUGUAACUUCUAGAAUAGUUAAUUAGACAAAAAGUUGUGGGGUUUUGUUUUGUUUUGCUUUUUGUUAAUUCAGUUAGAGAUAGCUAUAAAUUUACUGUUUCACAGGCACUUCUGUUCUUAUUUCUCACUAAUACAAAUGCUCCUCUUAUCUUCUUCUAAUAAUAGCCUGACCACUGUCUGCAUUUCAGACAGCUCUUUUAGACAGGGGACAAAUGACAUACUGGCUCUCUCGCUAUGAUUUUUUUUUUGCUAAACAAUAUGAACAGUCUUGUUGCUACAGAAAGUAUACAGCAUGCUAAAUAGCUGUGUGUCUUCCUCCCUCCAAAGAUCUACCGGUAUUUUUAUGUAGGAAAAUAAAUCAUGGACAAAGUGUGCUUUAUGUGCCAGAAUCUAAAGAUUCAGUUUGAAGGAGGAGAGCCAAAGACAAUCAGCAAAUACUUUCACAAAACAUAGUUUUGGGAGAAAGUUUUAAAGAGGAUACUAACUUUUAUUAAACUGAAGAUGCUGACAAAUUUAUUGACCACACUGCUGUCCAAAUAACAGCUACAUGGCUGCAUCUCAUCAGACAUCAUCUUGCAGUUGUACCUCUUAAAUUAUCAACCCCCAGAUAAUGUUAGUAACUCUCAGUUCUCCUUUUCUCCUUGAUGCCGAUGCAAAGACCUUCACUCUUGUUUUUAUGCUCUAAUCUUUUACACUGGAAGGGAAUUUUCAGUUCUCUACCAGUGUUCAACUAACUGCUGGUUGUAGCCCUUUUCAGUUCAAGAAAGACUCUUAAUUCUGCUGCUAUUUAAAAUGGCAAGCAACACUUCUUUCACCUUGGAUUCCAGGCAUGUUCAAACCGUGUCCUUCAGGGUGCAUGUGGCCUACCACAGCUCACAGUUCAGCUCACCUUCUUCCUGCAAUUUAAAGGUGGCAAGCAACCUUGGGCACACAUCCACAUUAUUAACACUGCAUUGACUGAAAGCAGGGCACUGGGAGGGCAGCACUGAGCAGUGCUGACUGAAGUAAUGGCAAAUAACUGUGUGCAUGUUGACACUUGGCUAAACACAAGGCUAUGAACAGAGAUGAAUAUGUAGCCAUGAUUUCCAUGUUGUGAACGGUUUAUGGGCUGGUUCAGCCUGGUUCCAUGACUGGCGAGGCAGAGGGAUUUUGCAAAAUCUGCGCCUCCAGAAAAGGGAAACAGGGGACCCCAAGAUAAUUAAAAACAGUGGCAAUGAUCUGAGGAGAAACAAAUUUACUAAAUACGGUAUCGGAAUGCAAGAUAACAUACUGUAAUACAAUAUAAUUAGAAUUGAAGCUAAUAAAUCAAAUAUAAUGAGAGAAAGAGUAUCUGAAAG